rnacentral:rRNA from 1 species
GCCAGAGCCAUAUUUCCCACUGAAGCUCAGCAGGGUUGAGCCUGGACAGUACCUGGUUGGGAGAACUCCUGGGGAAAACUACAGUUGCUGCUGGAA